AACGAACGCUGGCGGCAGGCCUAACACAUGCAAGUCGAGCGCGCCCUUCGGGGUGAGUGGCGGACGGGUGAGUAACGCGUGGGAACGUGCCCUUUUCUACGGAAUAGCCUCGGGAAACUGAGAGUAAUACCGUAUACGCCCUUCGGGGGAAAGAUUUAUCGGAAAAGGAUCGGCCCGCGUUGGAUUAGGUAGUUGGUGGGGUAAUGGCCUACCAAGCCGACGAUCCAUAGCUGGUUUGAGAGGAUGAUCAGCCACACUGGGACUGAGACACGGCCCAGACUCCUACGGGAGGCAGCAGUGGGGGAUCUUAGACAAUGGGGGCAACCCUGAUCGAGCCAUGCCGCGUGAGUGAUGAAGGCCUUAGGGUUGUAAAGCUCUUUCAGCUGGGAAGAUAAUGACGGUACCAGCAGAAGAAGCCCCGGCUAACUCCGUG
rnacentral:rRNA from 1 species